ACGAGUUUUAAUUGUUAGGUUAGAGUUGAGCUGGUUAAUCUAAUUAAUAUGUGCUUACUCUAAUCGAAACAAGUCCACUCACUACUUAACACUUGUGAACUUAUUCAUUACAAACAUUAUUAUUUGUUAUUGGAACGUUCGAUUAUUAAAAAGUUAAUA
rnacentral:misc_RNA from 1 species